UACAGAGGGGGCAAGCGUUAUUCGGAAUUAUUGGGCGUAAAGGGCGCGUAGGCGGCCUGGCAAGUGGAAGGUGAAAUCCCUCGGCUUAACCGAGGAACUGCCUCCCAAACUGCUUGGCUUGAGACCAGGAGAGGUGAGUGGAAUUCCCAGUGUAGCGGUGAAAUGCGUAGAUAUUGGGAGGAACACCAGUGGCGAAGGCGGCUCACUGGACCGGUACUGACGCUGAUGCGCGAAAGCGUGGGGAGCAAACGGG
rnacentral:rRNA from 1 species